rnacentral:rRNA from 1 species
GUGCCAGCCGCCGCGGUAAUACCGGCAGCCCGAGUGAUGGCCGAUCUUAUUGGGCCUAAAGCGUCCGUAGCUGGCUGCGCAAGUCCGUCGGGAAAUCCACUCGCCCAACGGGUGGGCGUCCGGCGAAAACUGUCUGGCUUGGAACCGGAAGGCUCAGAGGGUACGUCUGGGGUAGGAGUGAAAUCCUGCAAUCCCAGACGGACCACCGAUGGCGAAAGCACUCUGAGAAGACGGCUUCGACAGUGAGGGACGAAAGCUCGGGUCUCAAACCGGAUUAGAAACCCUUGUAGUCC